UUCAAUGGUCGGGCCUUGGUGGAGGAGCGCUCGCGCUCGCCGGUUUCCUCGGGUAUCCGGUCUGUCAACUCCGCCUUGCGCCCGGCCACCCCG
rnacentral:antisense_RNA from 1 species